GAUGAAGAACGCAGCGAAAUGCGAUAAGUAAUGUGAAUUGCAGAAUUCAGUGAAUCAUCGAGUCUUUGAACGCACAUUGCGCCCCCUGGUAUUCCGGGGGGCAUGCCUGUCCGAGCGUCAUUGCUGCCCUCAAGCACGGCUUGUGUGUUGGGCCGCCGUCCCCGGUUUCCCCCGGGGACGGGCCCGAAAGGCAGCGGCGGCACCGCGUCCGAUCCUCGAGCGUAUGGGGCUUUGUCACCCGCUCUGUAGGCCCGGCCGGCGCCAGCCGACACCCAACUUUAUUUCUAAGGUUGACCUCGGAUCAGGUAGGGAUACCCGCUGAACUUAAGCAUAUCAAUAAGCGGAAGGA
rnacentral:misc_RNA from 1 species